rnacentral:misc_RNA from 1 species
ACCAAAAAAUCAUGGGGGUUAAGUGCGAAGCAAAAAAGAACGAAAACUAUAAGUCUUGUUAAUAUUUUUAUGUAACAGGCUUAUACGCACCAAUUCAGUGUUUAAAGUUGUUAUAUAAUCAGAGCAGUUUCGUAUAACAUAUAAGAACAAUAAAGUUAACAUCCGUGAGAUUAUCAUUAGUAUUUUUAGAAAGGAUAUGAGCUUCAUUAUCAAACUAUUGUUAAAUGUUUUUAUCUUUUUGAAAUGUUUCUCAGUUUCAGUUUUCAUCACUUUCAUUGUUUCGGAUUGUAAAAUAAUUAUUUUUAAACAAUGUUUUAUGUUUGUCAUGAUAAUUUCUAAUAAAAAGUAUGAAUUUU